rnacentral:rRNA from 1 species
AGAGUUUGAUCAUGGCUCAGGAUGAACGCUAGCUACAGGCUUAACACAUGCAAGUCGAGGGGUAGCAGGGUAGCAAUACCGCUGACGACCGGCGCACGGGUGAGUAACACGUAUCCAACCUUCCCAUAACUCAGGGAUAGCCUUUCGAAAGAAAGAUUAAUACCUGAUAGUACUUUUUCAAGGCAUCUUGAGAAAGUUAAAGAUUUAUUGGUUAUGGAUGGGGAUGCGUUCCAUUAGAUAGUUGGUGAGGUAACGGCUCACCAAGUCUUCGAUGGAUAGGGGUUCUGAGAGGAAGGUCCCCACAUUGGUACUGAGACACGGACCAAACUCCUACGGGAGGCAGCAGUGAGGAAUAUUGGUCAAUGGGCGAGAGCCUGAACCAGCCAAGUAGCGUGAAGGAUGAAGGUCCUAUGGAUUGUAAACUUCUUUUAUAGUAGAAUAAAGUGAUCCACGUGUGGAUUUUUGUAUGUAUACUAUGAAUAAGGAUCGGCUAACUCCGUGCCAGCAGCCGC